CGGCCCCUACGGGGCGCAGCAGUGGGGAAUAUUGCACAAUGGGGGAAACCCUGAUGCAGCGACGCCGCGUGAAGGAAGGAGUAUUUCGGUAUGUAAACUUCUAUCAGCAGGGAAGAAAAUGACGGUACCUGACUAAGAAGCCCCGGCUAACUACGUGCCAGCAGCCGCGGUAAUACGUAGGGAGCGAGCGUUGUCCGGAAUUACUGGGUGUAAAGGGAGCGUAGGCGGGGA
rnacentral:rRNA from 1 species